CUGCUUCUUCUAUAGCAUAACAAGAAAGUUUCAUGGGCACAGCAAGUCCAGCAAGUUUCUUCAUGGACGCUAAUCUAUUCCGCCCUUCAAGCGAUCAUGUAUUCCAGAGUUUGAGUCUUCAGAGUUCCGCUCUACGCGCUGUGGGAUGCAAAAAUCAAUGGAAGUUUAUUGUUCCUCUCCUGCCUCCCAAAUGAAAGCAAAAUCCAAAUGGAUGGUAACAACUUUUAUAAUGGAUUCCAAGGAAGACUGCAAAAUCUUUGUUGGUGCCAAGUCUACAGUAGUAAAAAACAGACCACGGCAAUUUGUUUUGGCACUCAGAGACAUAUAAUAAAGUAAGGUACAGGACAACAGGUUUAUUCUGAUCCACAUAAAACUGUGGCAAACGCAGAAAGCUUACUAGAAAAUUCAGCUGGGAAUAAUGCCAUUCU